rnacentral:tRNA from 1 species
GCCUGAGUAGCUCAGUUGGUAGAGCACAUCCAUGGUAAGGAUGAGGUCACCGGUUCAAUCCCGGUCUCAGGCUCAA